rnacentral:tRNA from 1 species
GUCUCCUUGGUCAAGUGGUCAAGACGCAACCCUCUCACGGUUGAAUCAGGGGUUCGACUCCCCUAGGGGAUACCA